AUGGAUGAGGAUUUCAAUGUUGAAUAUUUUAAUCAAGUACCGAUUGUUUUACAAAUAGCUGUUGAUCAAUUAAGUGAUGAGGAUUUCAAUGUUGAAUAUUUUAAUCAAGUACCGAAUGCUUUACAAAUAGCUGUUGAUCAAUUAAGUGAAAUUCCAAUCUCCAUUCCAAUAAAUUUACAUUUUACAGAGCAAAAUGAAAACGUCCUAGAACUUGACACCUUACAACUCAUAAAUGAUGCCCUCGAAAACCUUAAUGCAGUUAAUGCAGUAGAGUUUGAAAAUCAUUCUCCUUCAUCAGCUCUCCACACGCAAAGUGAUCAUGUCUUACACGCGGUAACAAUCAGAUCAGAGACGGAUUCAGCAGAGACACAAGAAGGGGGGUCAGAGAGCAGCCCCUCAGCCCUUACACACAUGGCCCCCCCUAAACUUUCUCCUCAGCAAGGGGGAGGAGGGCUAGGAGAAAAUCCAUCCGAUCUCUCUCCUGAGCGGGGUGAGAGGUUUUUUAAUGAUUUUAUCACAUGGAGAACAAGACGCUCCUUUAACAUUCCCACUCGGGGAAAUGUGCCUGACAUUGCAACAUUCUAUCGAGAUGUAACAGGGGUUAUCAGCGAAUUGGUGGAUGUUGCCAGACGACAUAGUAGUCGCAAUGAUUUAAUACAGUUGGAGGUGGUGGGUGAAAACGUACACAAUCAUGUUACAGUUGCUGUGGAUGAACAAGGUGAAAAUAUUCUACCGGCUUUUAAUGGAAUGCUAGAUCGGAUUGUGCAGUCAAACGGUAUCAUUUCAUCGGAUGAGAAUAUACAAUUCAUCCUUCACGUGGUGCAGAACCCAGGAGGAGGUGCCAAACGUAAGAUGGAGAAAACUCUAGACUGUGAAAUCAUUGACAAAAAAAGACGUCACUUAUUUAUCGUAGACAACAGAGACAACCAGCUUUGCUUCGCCAUCAGUCUAGCUCACGUUAUCUACCCGAAACUUACUGAAAGAGGAUGCCUUGAUAUUGCGAGGAAGUUGCAGCAUCAGGCUGGUUUAAAUGAUGAGACCCCCGUCACUUUCAGUGACAUUGGUAAAUUUGAAAAUAUUCUGGGGCGUAAAAUUGUUGUGUUUUACAGAACAUGCCACAGUAAACCCCUCUCACAUUAUGAGACAAAAUUCUCUGAUCGUUCCAAUCAGUUGUUUCUCUUUUUACUACAAAAUCACUAUUAUGGGAUAAAAAAUCUCAAAGCCUUCCUGGGGUCGUCAGUCUGUAAUUAUUGUUACAAGACUUUUAAGCACCCCUAUACCCACUUUUGUAAAGGUUACUGCGCAGUGUGCAACGAUCCUGCCUGCCCCACAGAAGGGUUCAACACAGUGGUUUGCUCUGACUGUAACAGAACGUGUCGCUCACCCUCUUGUUUCACCAGACACAAAUUGGUCGGUUCAAGCAGAAAGUCCAGCCUCUGCGACCAAAUCAAAAAAUGCGCACGAUGCGAACUAUACUACAGUGUCAAUUUGUCGUUAGACGAUGCAAAGCAUCGCUGUGCGGUGAAAAAAUGUAAAAUCUGUGGUGAAAAACUGCAGAGCGACUCUAAAGUCGAUCAUAGUUGUUACAUUCCUACCCUCCAACCAGACAUCUCACAUCCUGAUUUGGUUUUUUAUGAUUUUGAAACAUUUGUGGGUCAAAAUGGAGAGCAUGUUCCUUUUUUAGUGCAUACAAAAACAUCCAAAGGUGAAGAGAAGGCGUUUUAUGGUCUUGACUGUGCUAAAAUGUUUAUUUUGCAUUCAGGAAGCCACGAUACAAACAGAACAUCUUUAUAG
ensembl:lncRNA